rnacentral:rRNA from 1 species
GGUUGAAAUCGAUAUGUAAGAACGUUGUUCAGAUUUGAUUUUCAACAUUGCAAUGAGUGGCGAACGGGUGAGUAACACGUGGGAAACCUACCUCUUAGCAGGGGAUAACAUUUGGAAACAAUGCUAAUACCGUAUAAUAUUAAACCGCAUUGGUUUAGUUUAAAAGAUGGUCUUGCUAUCACUAAGAGAUGGUCCCGCGGUGUAUUAGUUAGUUGGUGAGGUAAUGGCUCACCAAGACAAUGAUACAUAGCCGAGUUGAGAGACUGACCGGCCACAAUGGGACUGAGACACGGCCCAUACUCCUACGGGAGGCAGCAGUAGGGGAAUCUUCCACAAUGGACGAAAGUCUGAUGGAGCAACGCCGCGUGUGUGAUGAAGGGUUUCGGCUCGUAAAACACUGUUGUAAGAGAAGAAUGACAUUGAGAGUAACUGUUCAAUGUGUGACGGUAUCUUACCAGAAAGGAACGGCUAAAUACGUG